UACGUAGGGGGCUAGCGUUGUCCGGAAUCAUUGGGCGUAAAGAGCGUGUAGGCGGUCCGGUAAGUCCGUUGUGAAAGUCAAGGGCUCAACCCUUGAAUGCCGGCGGAUACUGUCGGGCUAGAGUCCGGAAGAGGCAAGUGGAAUUCCCGGUGUAGCGGUGAAAUGCGCAGAUAUCGGGAGGAACACCUAUGGCGAAGGCAGCUUGGUGGGACGGUACUGACGCUGAGACGCGGAAGCGUGGGGAGCAAACAGG
rnacentral:rRNA from 1 species